CCGUCUCCGCUCGGCCGCUGUUGGUUGUUGACUUUGGGCAAAUAACUUAACAUCUCUAAAGUCUGUUCCCUACCCCUGGAGGGGGGCCGAAGCUGCCCGUGCCCGAGAAGCCGUUUCAUUUCGCAGACAUGGUCUGUACGCGGCAGGAUUUAAUCAAUGCCGUACUGCAGCCACCUCUUGACUCACCUCUUUGUGGCAGGAAAGUUGCCCAAUUAACGAUGAGCUCAGUGACUAAGGAUGGGCUGGUGUACACACAGGCUCUGAAAUCUGCUCUGCCGCGGGAUCUUGGGCAUAGCAGUGAUCAGUGAAGAAGAAAGCCCAGGUGUGGGAAAACUGCUACUCCAACCAAGAAAGUAACACACAGGCAAGACACAUCUAAGUUAGUGAAAGGUCAGCCGCACCAGUCCUCACAUAAGAGAAAACGCAAGAGAAAAGGAAAUUCAGAUCCCAAGGGUUAAACUCCAAAGGUGGACAAUUGCUUGCAUUUACUGACAAGCUGACCAUGAAUUCCAGGUAAGGUUGAAAUUUUUCUUGUUUCUUGGUUGGUCUCUCUCAGCAUAUAUUCCAUUAUGUAUUGAAAAUUGUUAGAACCACAGACUCUCAGAGGCCAUCCAACUGAACUGACUACUGAUCUGCACUGUUUCUUUCAUAAUUUAAAGGUUAAUAGUCUCUCACAAGCAUCUUUUUUCUCUGUAAAAUGUAACCUUAAAAGUUUUGCUGAUAUGUGACUUGAUCCCUGUAGGCACAUACCAUUCAUUUUAAAAGCGUAAACAGGUAGAAAGAGGACCCAGUAUGUACACGCUCAGCACCAAUUUAGCGGUGUGUACACUCUGCUCUUUGCUAUACCGUAGAUGACCUGGAUUUUUCUAGUGUACUCUGGACAUAUUACCUAGUCUGUCAAUAUUGUCCUUCAAAUUGAUAGAAAGCAGGGACUGGGUGAUGUUCUUGCAAUUAAUUCUACACAGAGAUGCAUACAGAUGAUGAAUGAAGCCUCGUGUGGUGACCUGCCAGUGUUCUCCGAGGACUAAAUGCUGAGCCUCAGAAACUAGAGCAGCCAUCCUUUUGUCAACAGAUCGCCAAGGGCCUCGGGACAGGGGAUAAGAGAUAUGCAUCGCUGCCCAAUUUUACUGGAUUUCAGCCCUUUAUGCUGCUGCCAAGAUGAGUCUUCUGAGUCCUGACCUUUUCCCCCUGGACAACUUUACCAUUUUGUAUAUCUCAAUGAACAGUUUGGUUCUUACCUGGGAAUAGCUAUCCUAGAUGAGCAAAAUUAUCA